GCUGGGCGUGGUGGCUCAUGCCUGUAAUCCCAGCACCCUGGGAGGCCGAGGUGGGUGGAUCACCUGAGGUCAGGAGUUCGAGACCAGCCUGGCCAACAUGGUGAAACCCCGUCUCUA
rfam:Gorilla gorilla gorilla genomic chromosome, chr6, whole genome shotgun sequence